GAUGAAGAACGCAGCGAAAUGCGAUAAGUAAUGUGAAUUGCAGAAUUCCGUGAAUCAUCGAAUCUUUGAACGCACAUUGCGCCCCCUGGCAUUCCGGGGGGCAUGCCUGUCCGAGCGUCAUUUCUGCCCUCCAGCCCGGCUGGGUGUUGGGCGCUGUCCCCCCGGGGACACGCCCCAAAGGCAGUGGCGGCGCCGCGUCGGGUCCUCGAGCGUAUGGGGCUUUGUCACCCGCUCGGGACGGACUCGUCGGCGCUGGUCUUCCUCCAGGCGACCCUUCGGGGCUCGUCUUCCUUCGGUUGACCUCGGAUCAGGUAGGGUUACCCGCUGAACUUAAGCAUAUCAAAGCGGAGGA
rnacentral:misc_RNA from 1 species